rnacentral:sRNA from 1 species
GGCGCGGAAGCGGCGGCGGCGCGGCCGGGGCAGCCAUGUCGCCAUUGUCUGCGGCGCGGGCGGCCCUGCGGGUCUACGCGGCAGGCGCCGCGGUGAUCCUGGCGCAGCUGCUGCGGCGCUGCCGCGGGGGCUUCGUGGAGCCAGUUUUUCCCCCACAACCUGACCGUGUCGCUAUAGUGACGGGAGGGACAGAUGGCAUCGGCUAUUGUACAGCGAAGCAUCUGGCAAGACUUGGCAUGCAUGUUAUCAUAGCUGGAAAUAAUGACAGCAAAGCCAAACAAGUUGUAAGCAAAAUAAAAGAAGAAACCUUGAACGACAAAGCUGAGGCACAGCAGUGGAACUUGUCUUAUUAUCAUUGACUUGUUAUGUUCAUGAAGGACUUGCAAAACCAACGCUGAUCCUCAGAGUAACAGCACACAUCCCCCCAGGACAGUCUAUGAAGCUGGAGCCCCCUGGGUUGUAAAAUGCCUCCGCACCCCAUCUCUGUUUC